rnacentral:rRNA from 1 species
GGACUACCCGGGUAUCUAAUCCUGUUUGCUACCCACGCUUUCGUGUCUCAGCGUCAGAAAUGGUCCAGAAAGCUGUCUACACCACGGGUGUUCCUCCUGAUAUCUACGCAUUUCACCGCUACACCAGGAAUUCCGCUUUCCUCUCCCAUCCUCAAGCAUUCCAGUUCCCGCCGCACCCUCCCAGUUAAGCCGGGAGAUUUCACGACAGACUUAGAACACCGCCUACACACUCUUUACGCCCAGUAAUUCCGAACAACGCUUGCUGCCUACGUAUUACCGCGGCGGCUGGCAC